UUUCCGUAGGUGAACCUGCGGAAGGAUCAUUAUCAAUUAUAGGCGGCAGCAAUGCCACUAUACACCCUUUGUCUUUUGCGUACUGUAUGUUUCCUCGGUGGGCUCGCCCGCCGAUAGGACAUUUUAAAACCUUUUGUAAUUGCAAUCAGCGUCAGAAAUAACUAUAAUAGUUACAACUUUCAACAACGGAUCUCUUGGUUCUGGCAUCGAUGAAGAACGCAGC
rnacentral:misc_RNA from 1 species